GUAGAAAUUAGAAUAGGAUAACAUGUGUGGCGUGGAGUGGGAACAAGAUGUUAUGAAAAAGAAAUACUCUCAAACAUAACAAAUCCAAACCCAAACCCCAAAAACCCAGGCUAGAGCACGCUGAUUUUGCGAUUGAUUUGAUGGACCCCAUGAUCAUAAAAGGAGUGUUCAGGAGAUAUGAAAGAUGGAACCCAGUGCAUCCGACGGUGGGUGCGUUUUGGGGUAUGGGAAUUGGCAUUGGUUGUGGUGUUGGAUGGGGACCUGGGUUUGGCCCCGAUGUCGUUGGUUAUGUUGGAGCUGGCUGUGGGAUUGGUUUCAGUGUGGGUAUAACCCUUGCUGGUGUUGGCAUUGGUCUUCCUGCAAAUUCCUUCUUUCAACUUCCAUACAAUGCUUUUCGAACAGCCAGAACCCGGGCACUGGAUCUUGUCUCUACCAAAAUUACACCUGCUCUUGCCUCCUAUAGAUUUGCACCUCCUCACCUCUCCGACCUUCAAAGAGAAGCCACUACAAGACUCUCAACCAUGUUGCCUUCACAAACUAUCUCUAUUUGGGAAGGUGUAGAAAGAUUUAGCACCCGCUUUUUCCAUCCUCGCAAAGAACCAGUGUAUUAAACUGAUAAGAAGAUUCCUAAAGCUGCAUCAUCAGAAGAAUUUGUCCUAUCUAGUUAGUUUAAAAGAUUAGGUGCUUUAUAUACAUAACGCCAUGUGAAUGUGAGAGAUUGCAAAUUAUAUGAUGGAGAAAAUGGCAGUGCAUUUGGUAGGAUCAUGGCAGGCAGACCAUGUGCUUCUAGAUGAUAAUGCUAACGCGAGGAAGAUAGAAAGGAAUUGUUGCCUGGGGCCCAAGCCCAAGCUCAAGCCCAAGAUAGGAUUUUGUUUUCAUUUCUCUCCUUUUUUUUUUUUUUUCAUUCCAGGCAGGAUUCGUAGUUUGGAGAGAUGAUUUCAUUUUAGUUUUCAAGGCAAAGAGUACUUUCAAGUUGUAAACUUAACCGUACAUCAGGGUGUCCUACAGUGUUUUGAGGUUGCAACCAGCUAUGAAUCGGAUACAGGAAGGAAUAGUAGGCCAAUGCAUUUUGUUAUUUUCUUCUUUAA